rnacentral:lncRNA from 1 species
CAGAUGCAUAAACGGAUUCAUGUUGGAGAGAAACCCUACAAAUGUCAUGAAUGUGAUAAAGACUUUUCACGACCCAAUGGACUCCAGAUGCGCAAUAGAGUUCAAUGGGAGAGAAACCCUACAAAUGUAAUGAAUGUGAUAAAGCCUUUUCACGACCCAGUAGACUCAAGAGGCAUAAUAAAGUUCAUACUGAAGAGAAACCCUACAAAUGUAAUGAAUGUGUGAAACCUUUUCAGAAUACAGUAGCUUCCAGAAGCAUAAAAGGAUUCAUACUGGAGAGACUCCCUACAAAUGUAAGGAAUGUGGUAAAGCCUUUUCAUGACCCAGUAGCCUCCAGUAGCAAAAAGAGUUCACACUGGAGAGAAACCCUACAAAAGUAAUGAAUGUGAUAAAGCCUUUUCAGUACACAGUAGUCUCCAGAU